rnacentral:tRNA from 1 species
GCGGCUGUGGGAUGUGGGUACCCGCUCGAUGCUGACGGGCCACACCGGACCGGUCUGGUCGGUGGCGUUCAGCCCCGAUGGCCGCACC